AGCGGUAAGGCCCUUUCGGGGGUACACGAGCGGCGAACGGGUGAGUAACACGUGAGUAAUCUGCCCUUCACUUCGGGAUAAGCCUCGGAAACGGGGUCUAAUACCGGAUACGACACUUUUACGCAUGUAAUGGGUGUGGAAAGUUUUUUCGGUGGGGGAUGUGCUCGCGGCCUAUCAGCUUGUUGGUGGGGUAAUGGCCUACCAAGGCUUCGACGGGUAGCCGGCCUGAGAGGGUGACCGGCCACACUGGGACUGAGACACGGCCCAGACUCCUACGGGAGGCAGCAGUGGGGAAUAUUGGACAAUGGGCGGAAGCCUGAUCCAGCAACGCCGCGUGAGGGAUGACGGCCUUCGGGUUGUAAACCUCUUUCAGCGGGGACGAAGCGCAAGUGACGGUACCCGCAGAAGAAGCACCGGCCAACUACGUGCCAGCAGCCGCGGUAAUACGUAGGGUGCGAGCGUUGUCCGGAAUUAUUGGGCGUAAAGGGCUCGUAGGCGGUUUGUCGCGUCGGGAGUGAAAACGCCGGGCUUAACUCGGUGCUUGCUUUCGAUACGGGCAGACUAGAGGCAUGCAGGGGAGAACGGAAUUCCUGGUGUAGCGGUGAAAUGCGCAGAUAUCAGGAGGAACACCGGUGGCGAAGGCGGUUCUCUGGGCAUGUCCUGACGCUGAGGAGCGAAAGUGUGGGGAGCGAACAGG
rnacentral:rRNA from 1 species